ACGAGCUAAUUCCCCGGGGAAGGGAAGGGGGGCGAAUCUUCGCAUCUGAUGCCCAGCAUCCAGGUUUCGGUAUUUACAUAAUCCGAGUGUUUCCAUAGUCACACCGGAAGCGGCGAUUUAAAAACCAGAUCGCUUUAUGUAACGCCGCGAUGGAUGCGCAGCCCCCGCGCGCUCCCCCCGCCGCCCCGCACGCUCGACAGCGCCGAAAGCGCGGGGGUCCGCGGCCGAGGGGCAGCAACGAGUUCAAUGCCGGGGGAUGUGGGGUAGGCCCGGCGGAGGCCGGUGCCGCUGCCCCGGGGAAGCUGCGGCGGGCGCGGAGAGACGGGGCUGGAGGCGGCGGGGACCGGCCGCGCACAAGGAAAGGAAUGUUUAUAUCAAAGCUACAACACUGGGGCUUGGAAUUUCAAAAUGACAUAUGGGCCUGGUUUGGAAAAGGACAUGAGAUGAAAUGCCUUUACUGAUUCUGCAGCUCCUUUUUCAUAUUGUUUCUCUGAAUGAAAUACAAACUCAGCAGUACAUCAGUGUUUAAUUCAAAGCCCUUUCCAAUAAACAGGAGUAAGAGUGAUGGACAGGAGAAGAGAGGAACAGUGAGUUCAAAGAGCCUAUUUUAAUACAAUUAAUUAGAAAGACACUUGAAGUCCUUGUCAGAUGUAAGUUUCUUGUAAGUGUUUUCUAUUGGGUUUUUUUUGAGAAAUCUGAUUUUAGGGAACAGGUCAAGACCUAGUGCAGUAGCACUCCCUCAUGAUGUUGCAGUUCAACCAUAAUUUUGCACAUGAACAAGAAGAAAUCAUGAACAAUCCACGUUGGUUAUGUACAUGUACAUAAACAUUUGUCAUAGCUUAUGAGCAAUGUUGUAAAAUAUUUUUAAGUAUGUAAUUCCACAGAACAGAGACUUAAAUGUUUGUCUGAGAUGCAGAAGUUCUAGUUACACUGGUUUUUGAUGGCUAUUGUAUCUCCCAAGAAAAAGUGAUAAAUCACAAUUGGUUUAUUCUUAGCCUCAGGCAGCAGUGGGAGACAGAGAAUGUUCAUUUUUAGGGUGGUCUUCUGAUCUGUAUUUUGGGGGGGCAGGGGUUAAUAAUUAAAGCACACCAGAGAAAGGGACGGUGUUUUAUAAUCACAGACUCACUUAAGUUGUGAAAAACCUUUAGAAUCAUCAAGUCUAACCACAAACCUAACAGUGCCAAAUCCACCUCUAAAUUUUAACUUAUGCUGGACUUCCACUCAAAUGGAUCCUACACAGCAGUACUGUCACCCAAAAAAGAGAAGGAAGGUGGCCAAAAUUCCAUGGAGUCAGUGAUAGAACAGCAAAGGCUUUUAUGGAAAGGCUAAGUCAAACUCAUUCUUCUACUGAGGUGUUUUAAUGCCCCUGUAGAUAAAAAUCUCACCCAAAGCUGUUUAUAACUAGAGGACUGUGUUUAUUUCCCAUGAAGGGAAUGAGAUCAGAUCUCUAUAGCACAGGGAAUGCCUCUGAAGACUUCAAAUCCUUAAGAUUACUUUUCUUGGAUGUUUUCACUACAUCUUUUUUAAAAGAAUGCCUUGUACAUGAAAAGCAUCAAAUGACUUUGUUGGUAUCAAUUGCCAUUCCCUUUGUUGUGCUUAAGGAAGUGAAGGACCUUGCAAAUCAGAAAGGUGUGAAGAACAAAGCAAAAAUGUUAAAGACAAUCUGCUGUGAUUUUCCUACUUGUAAAUACAGUGGAAAAUGUCAAAACAACACAAACUAAGAUGCUUUUUAUUGCUAAUGGAACUAGCACGGAUUCAUCUCCUAGGUGACCAUCCAUGUGCCUGUUAAUAGUAAAAGUAUCCUUAUGGAGUAUUAUUUGUGUUGUUAAAAUCCUAUUUUUCUUAACUACAAAUUGAUAGCAACAGGUUUGUUUCUUACACAUCCCUUAAGUCUCCAGAUGCACAAAUUUGAUGUGGCACAAGCAGUGUAUUGCCUCACCUUUUCAGAAAUCACCUUCACAGCUGUUCCAAGUAUCACUAGGGAGUUCUGCUCUACGCCUCACUUUUCCCUCUGUAAAACACAGUAAAAAAUGAGUUAUGGUUUAAAGGGUUUAUGUGAACCUGGCAAUAAAAAGUCUUUCAACACUGGCA